rnacentral:rRNA from 1 species
UACGAAGUUAGCCGGGGCUUCUUCUGUAGGUACCGUCAUUAUCUUCCCUACUGAAAGAGCUUUACAACCCUAAGGCCUUCAUCACUCACGCGGCAUGGCUGGAUCAGGCUUGCGCCCAUUGUCCAAUAUUCCCCACUGCUGCCUCCCGUAGGAGUCUGGGCCGUGUCUCAGUCCCAGUGUGGCUGAUCAUCCUCUCAGACCAGCUAAAGAUCGUCGCCUUGGUGAGCCAUUACCUCACCAACUAGCUAAUCUUACGCGGGCUCAUCUGAAACCGAUAAAUCUUUCCCCCGUAGGGCGUAUACGGUAUUAGCAGAAGUUUCCCUCUGUUGUUCCGUAGUUCCAGGUAGAUUCCCACGCGUUACUCACCCGUCUGCCACUCAUCUUGCGAUGCGUUCGACUUGCAUGUGUUAAGCCUGCCGCCAGCGUUCGUUCUGAGCCAGGAUCAAACUCU